UUUCUUCGUGUUUCAGUUAUAUUUUUAAAUAUUUUCAUUUAGUUUAUAAUCUACUGAAAAAUAAUUAUGAAAAAUGUGAAAUAUUAGUCCAUACUUGUUUAUUUUGUUAAAUGAAGAUUAUUGGAAAAUCCGCCCUCGACCAACUUGAUUACAAAAUUACAAAACCAUACAUAUACGAACUUUUUGUCAAUAAAAAAUACUGCUUAUUAGAAAUACUGGCUAUCAUAUUUAGAUGCAAACAUAAAAACUCUAUUGAUUCUUUAAACCAUAUUCUUCAUUCAAACACAAUCCGAGGUGUUCUGUAGAAGUAAGCUGGUUGACAUGGGUAGUACAAUCAAAUCGUUUGCGUGAUUCACACAAUAAUAAAAAGUCCCAAAAAAACUUUAAUUAUUCCAAAAACUUUUAAAAAACUAGUUCCUUUCCACAACUUUGCCGGUCCAUUUUGACCUGUUUUAGGCCCUAUAAAGUACUCUUUACAAUCAAUAGAAAAUGUGUUGCGGACCUUGUGGUGGUUGCUGCGGCGGUUGCUGCGGCGGUUGCUGUUGCCCAUGCAUCACUAUCUACACUUGCUGCACGAAGAUUUGCUAGUCGUACCCGAGAUUUCGCGCGGACAAGCCAUGGUGUCUGUGUCGAAAUCGGCGCUUGAAUGCCUUCCAUGUUUGUCUUCGAAGUCAAUCCGUGCCGUUUUGUGGAAAUAAACUACUAUAAAUAAGCGUA